rnacentral:rRNA from 1 species
UUCACCGGAGCUUGCUCCACCGAAAGAAAAAGAGUGGCGAACGGGUGAGUAACACGUGGGUAACCUGCCCAUCAGAAGGGGAUAACACUUGGAAACAGGUGCUAAUACCGUAUAACACUAUUUUCCGCAUGGAAGAAAGUUGAAAGGCGCUUUUGUGUCACUGAUGGAUGGACCCGCGGUGCAUUAGCUAGUUGGUGAGGUAACGGCUCACCAAGGCCACGAUGCAUAGCCGACCUGAGAGGGUGAUCGGCCACACUGGGACUGAGACACGGCCCAGACUCCUACGGGAGGCAGCAGUAGGGAAUCUUCGGCAAUGGACGAAAGUCUGACCGAGCAACGCCGCGUGAGUGAAGAAGGUUUUCGGAUCGUAAAACUCUGUUGUUAGAGAAGAACAAGGAUGAGAGUAGAACGUUCAUCCCUUGACGGUAUCUAACCAGAAAGCCACGGCUAACUACGUGCCAGCAGCCGCGGUAAUACGUAGGUGGCAAGCGUUGUCCGGAUUUAUUGGGCGUAAAGCGAGCGCAGGCGGUUUCUUAAGUCUGAUGUGAAAGCCCCCGGCUCAACCGGGGAGGGUCAUUGGAAACUGGGAGACUUGAGUGCAGAAGAGGAGAGUGGAAUUCCAUGUGUAGCGGUGAAAUGCGUAGAUAUAUGGAGGAACACCAGUGGCGAAGGCGGCUCUCUGGUCUGUAACU